ensembl:ncRNA lncRNA:CR44557 long non-coding RNA:CR44557
GCAAUCGCCACGGCUCAACCAAAGGAAGCAAAAAGAAAUUUAGAAGGGCUUCGUACCACCGUACCCUAUUAGCCCAGUUUGCACACAUCAUCAGUGCAGUGUCUAAUGCUAGAUAUUAUAGGUAGAUAAAAAGACACAGCUUUCUGCAAUAAAUAAAUUGUCGACCAAUAUGCUAUUUUGUUUAUUAUUGCUUGUACUCUUUGUUGUGUGGCAAUAUAAUAGCAUAGCAUCUACUAUCAAGGGUUACCACCUCUAAAAUGGAGACAUUCUAAUCAGGAUCAUCGUGGUAGUCGAUCCAUCUGAGCACGUUGUAUCAUCGCAUUGCUCGAUUGCUAUAUUUUAAUAAUAUAGUGGCAUAAAAAGUAGAUUAAAACUUGUUUGAUUUUAGCUCUUGCUUAGGUUAAGAUAUCC